UUCGCCCUUAGGGUUUGAUCCUGGCUCAGGAUUAACGCUGGCGGCAUGCCUAAUACAUGCAAGUCGAACGAAGUAGUUUACUACUUAGUGGCGAACGGGUGAGUAACACGUAUCUAAUCUACCAUUUAGUGGGGAAUAACUGUUGGAAACGACAGCUAAUACCGCAUAUUGUUCCUAGUAUGAUUUACUAAGAAUGAAAGGAGCUUUCAAGCUUCGCUAAUUGAUGAGGAUGCGGCGCAUUAGCUAGUUGGUAGGGUAAUGGCCUACCAAGGCAAUGAUGCGUAGCCGAUCUGAGAGGAUGAACGGCCACAUUGGGACUGAGACACGGCCCAAACUUCUACGGAAGGCAGCAGUAGGGAAUUUUUCACAAUGGGCGAAAGCCUGAUGGAGCAAUGCCGCGUGACUGAUGAAGGUCUUCGGAUUGUAAAGGUCUGUUGUAAGGGAAGAAAUAAUAAAACAGGAAAUGGUUUUAUUUAUGACGGUACCUUACCUAGAAAGCCACGGCUAACUAUGUGCCAGCAGCCGCGGUAAUACAUAGGUGGCAAGCGUUAUCCGGAUUUAUUGGGCGUAAAGGGUGCGUAGACGGUUUUAUAAGUCUGUGGUUAAAUAUGAGAGCUCAACUCUCAUCUGCCUUGGAAACUGUAAAACUAGAGUGUAGGAGAGGCUAAUGGAAUUCCAUGUGUAGCGGUGGAAUGUGUAGAGAUAUGGAGGAACACCAGUGGCGAAAGCGGUUGGCUGGCCUAUUACUGACGUUGAUGCACGAAAGCGUGGGGAGCAAAUAGGAUUAGAUACCCUAGUAGUCCACGCUGUAAACGAUGAGUACUAAGUGUUGCCAUAAGGCAGUGCUGUAGCUAACGCAUUAAGUACUCCGCCUGAGUAGUAUGCUCGNCAGAGUGAAACUCAAAGGAAUUGACNGGGGACCCNGCACAGCGUGAAGCAUGUGGUUUAAUUCGAAGCACGCGAAGAACUUACANGNCNUGACAUACCUUGCAUACUAUAGAGA
rnacentral:rRNA from 1 species